UAGAAUAGUGAUGCAAGGGUUGUGUAGGAGGAGUCAGGUUAGUAAGGCUGCUGAUUUGUUGGAGGAUAUGCUGAAUAAAGGCUUUGUUCCUGAUGCGUUGAGUUACACGACUUUAUUGAAUAGUU
rnacentral:miRNA from 1 species